rnacentral:rRNA from 1 species
CCUACGGGCGGCAGCAGUGGGGGAUAUUGCACAAUGGGGGGAACCCUGAUGCAGCGACGCCGCGUGGGUGAAGGAGCGUUUCGGUGCGUAAAGCCCUAUCGGCAGGGAAGCAGAUGACGGUACCUGACCAAGAAGCCCCGGCUAACUACGGGCCAGCAGCCGCGGUAAUACGUAGGGGGCAAGCGUUAUCCGGAUUUACUGGGUGUAAAGGGGGCGUAGACGGCACUGCAGGACAGGAGGGAAAGCCCGGGGCCCAACCCCGGAACUGCUCUUGAAACUGCAUGGCUGGAGUACAGGAGGGGCAGGCGGAAUUCCUAGUGUAGCGGUGAAAUGCGUAGAUAUUAGGAGGAACACCGGUGGCGAAGGCAGCUUGCUGGACUGUAACUGACGUUGAGGCCCGAAGGCGUGGGGAGCAAACAGGAUUAGAUACCCGGGUAGUC